UACGAAGGGGGCUAGCGUUGCUCGGAAUCACUGGGCGUAAAGCGCACGUAGGCGGAUUGCUAAGUCAGGGGUGAAAUCCUGGAGCUCAACUCCAGAACUGCCCUUGAUACUAGCGGUCUCGAGUCCGGGAGAGGUGAGUGGAAUUCCUAGUGUAGAGGUGAAAUUCGUAGAUAUUAGGAAGAACACCAGUGGCGAAGGCGGCUCACUGGCCCGGUACUGACGCUGAGGCGCGAAAACGUGGGGAGCAAACAGG
rnacentral:rRNA from 1 species